AGGACGACGGAAGGUGUGCAGGAAGACAGCUGGGCUGUAGGAUUGAGGACACAGAGCAGCCUGCACUCUCCCUAUGAGCCAGGAGAGCUGUCACCAACUGGCAAAAAUGGAUAUGAAUGGCAGGGAUCACUGGCCAGCAGGGCAUUUCUCUAAGGCUCUGGAAACCCUUUGACCUCUUAUCAUCGGUAAGAACAGACCGUCCGGUUCUUGCCCGGAGGACCUGUCACUUUGACAGGGAGAAGCUGCCUCAAUCUCUAACCAGAGUUUUUCCUGGAGAGCCGGACAGGACAAGCAUCCCGAGGUAAGAGAAGGCAAAAGCAAGGAGCAGAAAGCUCGGUUACGCGAUCUCUUUGUGAAAAAAGAAAAGCUCACUGUAAAUGUCAGCGGAGGCAUAAAGAAAUGUGGCUUUUGGAAAAGGGCUCUGCUGAGUGGGACAGAGGAGGAUGAAGAAGGAGCUUCCCUCUGCACUCUGGAUACUUUCCUGUUUGAAUAUGGCUUUUUCGUAACGAGGAGAAAAUAUGUGUGUUCUUUGUAACUCUGAACUAAAAGCACACAGAGUUCGCCAUGCCUCCUUCCAGUCCCUUUAAUCA